GUACUGAUGAAGAGUCCCAGUCUAGGACGAAACAGCUGGCUGUCCAGUAC
rnacentral:hammerhead_ribozyme from 1 species